rnacentral:rRNA from 1 species
AACGUAGGUGGCGAGCGUUAUCCGGAUUUACUGGGCGUAAAGCGUGUGCAGGCGGGGUGGCAAGUGGUGUAUGAAAUCUCCGGGCUAAACCUGGAGGGGUUAUGCCAGACUGUCAUUCUAGAGUGCGAGAGAGGGGCGUGGAAUUCCGGGUGUAGUGGUGAAAUGCGUAGAUAUUGGGAAGAACACCUGAGGCGAAGGCGGGUUGCUGGGCCGACACUGACGCUGAGGCGCGAAAGCGUGGGGAGCAAACAGG